GACAGAGGAUGCAAGCGUUAUCCGGAAUGAUUGGGCGUAAGCGUCUGUAGGUGGCUUUUAAGUCCGCCGUCAAAUCCCAGGCUCAACCCUGGACAGGCGGUGGAAACUACCAAGCUGGAGUACGGUAGGGCAGAGGGAAUUCCGGUGGAGCGGUGAAAUGCGUAGAGAUCGGAAAGAACACCAACGGCGAAAGCACUCUGCUGGGCCGACACUGACACUGAGAGACGAAAGCUAGGGAGCGAAUGGG
rnacentral:rRNA from 1 species